CGGCGGCCGCGCGUUGCUUCGCUGCCGGCGGGGAAACGCGCUUUUAAUGCGGAGGGGAACGCACGCCGCCAGUCCGACGGACGACGCUUCAAACCCCACACUCACAAAAUGCAAAGAUCAAUGAGGAGAAAGGUCGUUUGAACAACCAAGCUGCACACACCUCAGAUUAAAACAAAGAUUCCUGGAAAAGCAGACAGACUGGAGAAGGAGUGUCCCAAGUCUGCAGGAGAAUCACAAGCCCAACUACGCAAGAAAUCUGUCUACAGAUGAAACAGUUUUUAAAUCUGUCAUCACAACUUACAUUCUGGUGUAGGCUUCACAUCUUUUAAUUGCUGCUGAAGUCUCUUCACGUUAUUUUGUAUUUUUGAUAGCUGCUGCAGGAUUUUAGCUUCUGUUAAACAAAUUAAGGUGCUGAUAGUUCCAGUAGUUUCUUUGUGCAUUAAAUUCAAUACAAUAACAAGAGCAAUGAAGUGUCCAAAAUAAACUGUGGAUUUCGUCUAA